UACGAAGGGGCUAGCGUUGCUCGGAAUUACUGGGCGUAAAGGGCGCGUAGGCGGAUGUCUAAGUUGGGGGUGAAAUCCCGGGGCUCAACCUCGGAAUUGCCUUCAAAACUGGAUAUCUUGAGUUCGGGAGAGGUGAGUGGAACUCCGAGUGUAGAGGUGAAAUUCGUAGAUAUUCGGAAGAACACCAGGUGGCGGAAGGCGACUCACUGGCCCGAUACUGACGCUGAGGCGCGAAAGCGUGGGGAGCAACAGG
rnacentral:rRNA from 1 species